rnacentral:lncRNA from 1 species
AAGACCCAAUUCACCCCCCCUCUUGGGCUCCGUAUCUGGGCAACAAUGAUAAUUUCUUGUCAAACAUAAGGUAAGAGCUCCUCCUGUACUUGGAUUCUCUUUUUUCCAUGAUUUCCUGUGGAGGAAGAUCACCGUUGGCCCAAUUUUUGAUGAGAAAUCACUGAUUUUUAGGUUGAAUAUAACCUACCCUACUCUAGCUAUGUUUUUUCCUUCUUUCCCUUUUUCCAACCACCAAUGCCAUCACCCUUUGAUGCCACACCCUGAGAUGAGUUUCCCGACCUCCCUACCAUCUAUCCUAGUGAGGCCAUGGUGGCCAAUGAGCCGCCAAUAGCCAAAAGACCCAAGAGAAAGGCCGAAUCUCUUGUUUUCGAAUCCUUUCCCUUCAUUUUCUUAUCAGAUGUUUAUCACUGUAGAUUGUUCCUUACUACCCACCACCGCUCAUGCAUUGCCGCCCA